AAAAAUAACGAAGAAUGGAAAGAGGGCAACAUCAAUUGCCCCAAAAUCCAGCAGACCUCACCUAAUAAUUCUAACGCAAUUUGAGCAGUCAGCCUUUUUCGAUUCACAUCUACCACAAAGGGCAGGUUUUUUUCAUUUUAUUUAUGCUUUCUGUUCUACUUUUUCUUCUUCUGCAAAAAGAUCAGAUCUUUGGGGUUUUGGCUUGAUUAGCAAUCUUUUUAUUCAGUUUAGUCUUAAGAUUCGUUUCAGAAAGGUGAAAACAAACUGAGGUUGGGUUCUGAUUUGUUCUCGGUUUUUAUUAAUUUGUUUAUUUUGGAUUUUUUAUGUGAAUUCUAACUUCUCUUCAAUUUUUUUAUUUUGUUGCUAUUCUACUUUCUUUAAAAGAUGUAAAAUACAAGUUGUUGACAAAUCCGCCCUAAAAUUAGCAGAGAGAUCAACGGGAGCACUUUCAAACAACCAUUGUCCAGGACGAAAACGAAGACCAAAUCUGCAUCAUAACAUAUGGUCCUGAAGUCCCACAUUAUGACAACCUGUUCAAACAUUUCCACACAUACCUCAUCCCAGCAGCUAAAGUUAGGGAACCGUCACGUUUUGCAAUACCCAUGCAUAGAUUCGAAUGGGUCGUCGAUACCUUCAGUAUUGCCGAAGAAGUUACAGAGAACAGUGAAGAAGAAUCAAUGUUACCGUUGCCUACGAGAUUAAACAUGGUGUCGUUUGCCAAUAUGGAGAAACAGAUUCCAGGAGAUGAAUUCGCGAGACCUGGUGGCAGUUGUGGCAAGUUGCGGUACCAUGAAAUAUUAGGGGAGCGAAACAGAAGAUUUCAAGAGGUUAUUCUCAUAUACGACACGAAAAAACCUUUUCUGUUUACUAUAUGGGGAGAAUUGGCUGACAAUGAUGGAGCUGAACUAGUGCAGCAGCUACAUAGGUAUCCUGUCAUUGUUGCAAAACGAAUAGCUGUUUCUAACUUUAAAUAAGAGGUCCGACUAACAACAAGGUUCAACUCCUCAAUCUUAAUCGACCAUUUGUACCUGCAGGCAGCAAAGCUAAUGAAUUGGGCAAAUGACAACAAGCAGAUGCUAAUUGAAUACACUCUCAAAAGUACAUCAGAAUCGUCUUCGAUACUAAAUGUUGCACCUUUUGAAGAUCAAAUAGUUCCCAUUUCAAGCAUUCCUUCACAGUUCACCAUGAGUAUAUUAAAGCAUAUGACUCGGGCUUGGCAUCGAUUGUUCUUUUGCUUCUAUAUCGGAUUAGAAAUAGCCUCUUGCGAGUUAUUCUAUGUCGUAAUUACUAAGUAGUAUCUUCUUAUUAUUUUCUCACAGGCACACAAUUUUUAUGUUGAAGGAGAAAUAUCGUUGCCAAGCGAAUUCCAGUUUUUCUUUGUACUUUUAUGCUCUGAGUGUCACAUCUAGCACGAAUCAAGCGCAAAAAGAAAGUUCUCUGUAUCAACUGCAAGCUAGAAAGAACGCUGAUUCCAAGAUGUGAAUUUGAAGUUGACAUCACAGACGGGUGAAACAAUAACAAUAGUAGUGUCAGACAAACUAGUUGAAAGAAUGAUUCACUGACAGCAGACCAAAUAUAUGAAACUACCAUUAUCAAGAAACAACUGUUACCUGUUGAGCAUAUCAGAGAGCAUCUGCUAUACAAGCUGUUCAAAAUUCAUUUACAAAAAUCACUACUCAGAACACCAGAUAGACCACCUAGUACGUUUGUCAUCUUAUCUUACACGCAGAAACAAACUGUCUUCGACCUGGCACAAUCUUCAACGUCAGCUACUAUUGGCGAGGGAAGUAAAAGAAAGGUAGAAUCAAUCAGUACUUCUGAAGAAGCAGAUCGCAGUCCAUCGACACAAGAUGAAAACCCAAGGAAGAAACCAAACGUACAAUCAACAAGUCCUUUGCAAAAAUAAUCAAGAUGCCUCAUCAGAUUUGAAGCGCAACAAAGGUCGCCUCAAUGUUAUUUGAUAGCCUACAGCAGUUGUAAUACUUGCAUUCAAGGCAGACUUUGGUCGUGUUGUUUACAGUACAAUCUUCCAGAUUUUGUGUAAAUAAGUACGUAGAUUUUCAUGAACUGUUUACUGCAGUACAAUGUUUUACAUUUUGUAUACAUAGCUAGACAAAUUGACUCUUAUCAAGGUAGAUUUUGUUA